UUAAACAUUGAUAACAAUUAUCGGGGUUGGUGGAAUUUGAAAUUCAAAUGGUGUCUCAAAUCUCUAUAAAUAUGAGUUUAAU